AUAUGCCAGCCACCGCACAAUGAUGGAUAACAGGUGGAGUCUUCAAGGCAUGACCGCCCUUAUCACCGGUGGAACCAAAGGAAUCGGGUACGAGGUGGUGGAGGAACUGGCAGGAUUUGGGUCAAGAGUACAUACAUGCACUAGAGACGGAAUUCUGAUGGAGGAAUGCUUACGUGAAUGGCAAGCCAAAGGCUUUCAUGUCACUGGUUCCGUCUGUGGUUUAUCUUCUUGGCCCGAGAGACAUAAACUCAUGCAGAAUCUCUCAUCUCUCUUUGGUGGCAAACUCAACAUCCUCGUAAACAAUGUGGCCGCAGCUUUCUCGAAGCCAACCGUGGAAUGCACAGCAGAAGAUUUCUGGUUAAGCAUGGCUACGAGUCAGCUCGGACAUACUUUGCUUAAGGCAUCAGGAUCUGGGAGCAUCGUCUUCGUGUCCUCUGUUGCUGGGGUUGUAUCCCUUCACUCCGCUUUCAUCUAUGGCGCAACAAAAGAAUAUACAGCAGCCAUGAAUCAGUUAGCUAAAAAUUUGGCGUGCGAAUGGGGAAGCGACAACAUAAGGGCAAACUCGGUGGGCCGGUGGCUCCUUGGUUCAUCUCAACCCCUUCGGUUGUAAACGGGUGAAGGAGGCUGUGGAGUCUAGAACUUCGAUGGGCUGUGUCGGGGAACCGAAGGAGGUUGCAUCGCUCGUCACGUUUCUGUCUCUUCCGGCAUCUUCUUACAUAACUGGUCAGACCGUCUGUAUCGACGGAGGUCUCACCAUCAAUGGCUUCUCCUAUCAGUCACCGCUUUGAGGUUGAUGAAGCGGGCAAGUUAGGUCGCGGUGGAAGCUUUAAAUCCGUCCAUCCAUCCUCCGUCACUGCCUGGAAGUAAUGCUCGACCAUGCUCUCUGUCACGUCCUCCAGUCUCGACGGGUUCCACUGCACCGGCAGUACCAAAUGAAUAGUAAAGUGACAGUUUUGCCCAUAUGUUUUAGAGAUAUUACUUACAAACCUGCUGAAAUCUCUUGAAAUGAAUUUCGGAUUCAGAUUCAGGUAACACAGAAAUUUAAAUA